UGGUGAUGGAAGGAGACUUGACUUGAGGCUGUGAACACACAAUACAAUAUACAGAGGAUGAUGUAUUUCAGAAUUGUAUACCUGACACCGAUAUAAUUUUAUUGACAAAUGUCACUGCACUGAAUUU